CGGAGCUAACGCAUUAAGUGCCCCGCCUGGGGAGUACGGCCGCAAGGCUAAAACUCAAAAGAAUUGACGGGGGCUCGCACAAGCGGUGGAGCAUGUGGCUUAAUUCGAUGCAACGCGAAGAACCUUACCGGGGCUUGACAUGGUAGAAGUAGAAUCCUGAAAGGGUGACGAUCGGUAUCCAGUCCGAAGCUAUCACAGGUGUUGCAUGGCUGUCGUCAGCUCGUGUCGUGAGACGUUGGGUUAAGUCCCCUAACGAGCGAAACCCUUGUCUUUAGUUGCUAACGGGUAAUGCUGAGCACUUUAGAGAGACUGCCGUCGUUAAGACGGAGGAAGGUGGGGACGACGUCAAGUCAUCAUGGCCCUUAUGUCCCGGGCUGCACACGUGCUACAAUGGUCGGUACAAAGGGAUGCUAAGUCGCGAGAUGGUGCGAAACCUAUAAAGCCGAUCUCAGUUCAGAUUGGAGGCUGAAACUCGCCUCCAUGAAGUUGGAAUCGCUAGUAAUCGCGGAUCAGCUACGCCGCGGUGAAUAUGUUCCCGAGCCUUGUACACACCGCCCGUCAAGCCACCCAAGCAAGAUGCACCCAAAAUCGCCUGCCUAACCCGUAAGGGAGGGAAGUGCCUAAGGUGUGUUUUGUGAGGAGGACUAAGUCGUAACAAGGUAGUCGUAGGAGAACCUGCGGCUGGAUCACCUCCUUUCUG
rnacentral:rRNA from 1 species